UAUUUAAAUAAUUUUUAAGGAACUAUUUUGAACCUGCUAAAAAGAUAAGGGACUAUUUUUAUCAUUUUCUCUGCCAAAAAUUGUCAACUUCUACUCUGAAUCAGAAAGAUAAGCUCCAAAACUGCAGUUUCAACAACUAGCCGCUUCAUUCAACAGGUGAUUCAAAUGGCUGACGAGGAGCGAGAUCUAAUUGAGAUCUUGGAAAAGAAUAACCCAAUGGACAUCAACAAAUAUAUUAGUUAUGUUCGUUCUCCCAAAUGUGGAGCUAUAGCAACAUUUGCAGGUACAACACGUGAUACAUUUGACGGUAAAGAAGUCUUAGAGCUACAGUAUGAAGCAUAUGUUCCAAUGGCAAUACGUUGUCUGAAAUCCCUUUGUUCUUCUGCCCGAGCAUCAUGGGAUAUCCACUCGAUAGCAGUUGCCCACUGCUUGGGUACUGUUCCUGUUGGAGAGACUAGUGUAUUUGUUGCGAUCUCGUCUGUCCAUCGAGCAGAUGGAUUGGAUGCUUGCAAGUUUCUGAUUGAUGAGCUUAAAGCAUCAGUUCCGAUAUGGAAGAAGGAGGUAUAUACAAAUGGAGAGGUGUGGAAAGAGAAUAAAGAGUUUAUAGAUAGGAUGCCAGAACUUGUGAAGACAUCAGAGGAUCAAGCUGGCGCUUGCUCUGGUAAAAAGAAAGUGGAGGCACAUGAGAGAAAGAGUUGCUGUGGGACAAAGGUUAAAGUCAAUGACGAAAAUGCAGAUUCUUGUAGGUAGUUCUGAAGCACAUGUUGUUAUAUUUCAUACAAACCCCUUCAUGUCUAAACAAACCCGAAAAAUAAUAAAUGGAAUGUUAAUCAUAAAGUUUAAGAAGGCUACCACGUAUGAAGAGCUUAAUAUGGUAGUUGCUGUUUUCAAGAUUACUGCAUAUAUAUAUUCAUGAAAGAGAAUAAAGAGAGCUUGGCUAUGAAAAUGUGGACUGCCCAUGUAGG